UACAGAGGGUGCGAGCGUUGUUCGGAAUUAUUGGGCGUAAAGGGCGCGUAGGCGGUGCGGUAAGUCACCUGUGAAAUCUCCUGGCUCAACUGGGAGCUUGCAGGCGAAACUGCCGUGCUGGAGUGUGGGAGAGGUGAGUGGAAUUCCCGGUGUAGCGGUGAAAUGCGUAGAUAUCAAGUGGAACACCAGUGGCGAAGGCGAGUCCCUGGACAGAUCCUGACGCUGAGGCACGAAAGCUAGGGGAGCAAACAGG
rnacentral:rRNA from 1 species